rnacentral:lncRNA from 1 species
CAUGCAGGGAUCCCCGAUCUUCCGCUGAUACCAUACGCCACCGUUCUCGCUUCAUCACCAUAUAAUCCGGCCUUUGAUUCCUUUUCUUUCUUGCCCCAUCUCACUCUCUCUCUCUCUCUCUCUUAGUUCCAACUUAUUUCUCUUGCCCCAUCUCACUCUCUUAAUUCCCAACUUAUUUGAUCUGAUGGAAAGCUUCACCAGUUCGCGAAUUCAACGGGAUUUGUUCAUAUUUUGGUAGAUGUGCGAAACGACAAAUCUAAAUCACUGAUCGACAAGAUGUCCACUUCUACUGGGUUCCUCGUUUCUACUCAGGUAUGCAUUUUUGUUCAAACUUUUACUUCGAACUAUUAACGUGUUUACCCAAAUUCGAAAUACACACGAACCCUUUUUCAAGUUGGGUGG